AUGGAGCUCAGUCAACUUCCUCUUGUGUUCUUGCUGAUUUCAAUCAUCCACUCUGGACAAACUGAAGAAAGACCAAAACCCAAAGUGACCAUUAAACCUGCUCAACAUGUGUUCAGAGGAGAGAAAGUCACUCUCAGAUGUGACAUAUAUGAUGAAGGAGUCACUAGCUGGAGCUACAGAUGGUAUAAAGAAGGUUUAAGCAGUGUUUUGAGUGAUGAACAGGAACACACAUUCAGUUCUGUUACUGAGUCUGACGCAGGUAAAUACUCCUGUUAUGGAUUUAAAGGAUCACGCUGGUCUCACCACAGUGAUGCAGUUACGCUGACAGUAUCAGGUGUUUCUAAACCAGCUCUGACUGUUGAGCCUCAGAGUUCAGUGUUCACUGGAGACUCAGUUACUCUGAGAUGUGAGGGGAUUCAGUCACAGAAUGGAUGGGAGUUUCUCUGGAGAAAAGACUCAAACCGUGAAUCUACUGGAGCUGCAACUAAAACAAUCAAACGUGUGACGGUCUCUGAUGGAGGAGAGUACAGCUGCAGAGCACGAAGAGGAAGAUAUUACACAGAUUACAGUAAACCAGCGGCAGUAACAAUACACGAAAGACCAAAACCCAAAGUGACCAUUAAACCUGCUCUACAUGUGUUCAGAGGAGAGACAGUCACUCUCAGAUGUGACAUAUAUGAUGAAGGAGUCACUAGCUGGAGCUACAGCUGGUAUAAAGAUAAUUCAAGUGUUUUCAGUGAUGGACAGGAACACACAUUCAGUUCUGUUACUGAGUCUGACGCAGGUGAAUACUCCUGUAAAGGAUCAGAGACAGAAGGAUCACGCUGGUCACAAACGAGUGAUAAAGUUACACUGACAGUAUCAGAUCCCAGAGCAGUUUUAAGUGUUUCUCCUCAGAAGUGGUUGACUGAAGGAGAUCCAGUGACUCUGAUCUGUGAGGUUCACAGCUUCUCUACAGGCUGGACAUUCAGCUGGUUCACUUUAACUGACUCAGCAGAUCAGUAUAAUCUGCUCUCAGACAGCAGCAGAGGAGCAGGAGGAAACUACACUGUCAGUUCUGCUGUAAAUCACACAGGAGUUUAUGUGUGCAGAGCAGAGAGAGAGAAAUCAGUCUAUAAAACACAGCACAGCAACACACAGCAGCUGUGGGUCACUGGUGUUUCUCCUCCAGUCUCUCUGAUCGUCAGUCCCAGCAGAACUCAACACUUCACAUCUGUCUCUCUCUCUCUGAGCUGUGAGGACCAGAGCAACUCUACUGGAUGGAGAGUGAGAAGAUACACAGACAGUGGACGGCUGGAAGAUUGUUCUUCAUUACGUCGAGGAUCACAAACAGGAUCUACAUGUACAAUCAGCUCCACCAUCACAUCACACACUGGAGUGUACUGGUGUCAGUCUGAAUCUGGAGAGAAACAUCAUCCUGUUAAUAUCACUGUACACUCUGGUGUGAUUCUGGAGAGUCCUGUUCAUCCUGUGACUGAAGGAGAUCAUCUGACUCUACGCUGUUUAUAUCGACACACAACCGCUCCAAACCUCAGAGCUGAUUUCUAUAAAGAUGGAUCACUCAUCCAGAAUCAAACUACAGAGAUGAACAUCACUACUGUCUCAAAGUCACAUGAGGGUUUCUACUCCUGCAAACACCCAGAGAGAGGAGCGUCACCCAAGAGCUGGAUCUCAGUCAGACGAGUCUCAAAUGAACACUGCUUGUUUGAUUCAGAAUCUCAGAUGUGUGUCCUCAACAUACUCAGUUCUGUUCUGGCAGCUUGUCCAUAUCUGCUAGUGACAGUCGUGCUGAUUUUCAGAUGCUGCAGAAUGAGAGUUGCAUCUGUUGAAGAGGAAACUUCAGUCUGAUAAUGAUUAAUCUGUUGCAACGGUGAGAAAACUUCAGCUUCAUCCUGAAAUCUCUCAGUAUCUCAUCCACAAGCUCAGACAGAGAUUCCAACAGUCGCGUUCAUCCGUUCACACGAGGGGUGAUUAGCAUUCACCGGAGAAGAGGCGAACCAGACAGCGCUCCGGUUGACCGGAAAGCCCGGAGUUCCUCUGUUGCUGGAGUGAGCUGAAGUACCGCGGGACCCAUCGCGUUCUAGAAGACAUCGGGCCUGCUCCGUAGGGUGUGUGAGGGAGAGACAGCGUGAAUGUGGGCCCACUUAAAGGACAUUUGUUAUUAGAUAUACUGAGGUUUUUUAUUUGGUUUUGAUCCCGAUUGUAAUCUUGAAUUCAGUUGGAAAUUUAUAUUAGGGAAUUCGUUUAAAUCCACAGGGAGUUUAACCCUUGAGGGUACAAGAGUUUGUUUUAUUUCCAAGUGUUAUUCCUUUAAAAGGAAUUCAGUUGACUUUGUACUUCAUUGCAAACUUGAAAAAGGUGGUACUUUUACAAUUUUGUUUACUUUGCUUUGCUUUAAUUAAUUCAUUUGCUUGAGCAGAUACAUAAAAAACACACAUAAAACAAGCUUUUGAAUUUUCCGUCUUUAUUGCAGCGGGAGAGAAACCAGUUAAGUGAUUUAUUGUAGUUAAACAUAUUGUAGUAAACUUAUCACAGAUACUAAUACUUACCCAGACCCCAGCUUUAAUGUAGCUGUGAUUGUUACUGGGUUACACAUGUUUUUGGAGUGACAACUAUAUGUAAAUGCAGGAAUAAUUCACUUUACUAUGUGUGUGUGUGUGUGUGUGUAAUACAGGAGUCACUCCUGAUUCCUGAUGACUAACCUUUUGACGUGUUAUAGUUGUUAAAGUCAACAUCAGCCAGCUUUGCCAACACACUUGACUUCCAUUGAUUCCAUUCCCAUUUGAUUUGAUUUACACUUUGGAAUAGCUAAGAAAGGGUCAAUUUUGAUUUCAUAUGUUUAACCAGUUUGGUUUUUGCUAUUUUUGACCAAUAAUGUAUUAUUGAUAAUAUGGACCAAAUCCUAAUGCGCUCUCCAAAGCUUUAUAACACAUUAUAACCACAUCAACACACUUUCAUUUGUAAGCAUGUAUAUUCCUCAUUUUAUUGUACGUCUCCUGCUGCAAUAUGUCAUGCUUUUAUAUGUUUAUGUUUCCUUUUUAAAUAAACUAUUUCUGCAGCUGAUGCUUAGUUAUAAAAAUAAAAUAAAAAAUGUCUCACAGUGUCAAUAGAAGUAGAAGAGCCAGGAUCAAGAACCAUUUACUUUAAUGGAUAAGAUUUAAUCUCAAAAUGUCUAUUUUUGUAUUAUUCACAGUGUAGGGGAAUGUACAGUAAAGACCCUCGGACCGGGUGUAUUGAAUGAAGACCAGAAGUCAAGAGAUUCGAUCAAAAAUGAAGAAAAUUUACUGAAGAUAGUUUGCAGUUUCAUCAGCAGAAGUCGGCUUCAACACUCGUGAUGGAGUUCGUAGGCCGCUCUGCGAACAUGUUCUAGACACCAACAGUUAUACUCUAACAGAGGUCACUAAUUACGUCAAUACAUAGGUAAGCAAGAUUCUGGUUGGUAGAUAAACUUAGAGUUUUACAUCCAUGUGUGGAGAUUUUCUAAGCAUAUCUUCUAGUGAUUAUUUUAGUGAUCAGAGGUCAGACGCAAUAGGUCUCUCCAGAGACGUAUAUCUGUUACCCUGGACAUCAGGGUGACGGCAAAUGAUGGUUUCCUCCGAGAUCUCUCUCUCUCUGCAUCUAGCUGCAAAGACAGACAUUCACACACAUACGCAGAGAACACUUAUCUGUACUUCAAGGUUGCCGGGCUCUGCCCUGAAUCUUAUCAAAUAUGGUUCACUACACACACACAAUGAGAGCAGCUUCUUAGAGAGUAAAAAGGCAGAAUAAAGCCAUAUUCAACUUAUUUUCAACAUGCAUAAAUGUAACUUUGAUAAAUUAUUAUUCAAGAAAUAUUAUAAUUAACAUUAUUAUGAGGGCCAUUGUAGAUCUGCAAUCCAUUGCUUCAACAGCAUAAUACUACUGUAAUCUACAGACAUGAUUACUGUUAGUAUCCAGAUAAAAAUAAUAUUAACUUUUUAAAAUUCCUUGCUGCAUGUUGCUUUAUUUAAAGGCAGCUCAUCACCCUUUAUUACUUUCAUUGCCUUCUGCUGUUUGUAAUUUACCCAUUUAGCUCUCCAUAUAAUACACCGUGUUCUCUUAUCUUUGUUGCUGAAGUAUUGUUUUGUCACGCUGUUCUUCUGUGUUUUAUUUUUUUAGGUCUAUUUUGAUUUCAUAUAACUUAUCAUAUAACAAAAAAUAUGAAUGUUGUUAAC